AUGCAAGUCGAGCGGAACGACGAUAGCUUGCUAUCAGGCGUCGAGCGGCGGACGGGUGAGUAAUACUUAGGAAUCUACCUAGUAGUGGGGGAUAGCACGGGGAAACUCGUAUUAAUACCGCAUACGACCUACGGGAGAAAGGGGGCAGUUUACUGCUCUCGCUAUUAGAUGAGCCUAAGUCGGAUUAGCUAGAUGGUGGGGUAAAGGCCUACCAUGGCGACGAUCUGUAGCUGGUCUGAGAGGAUGAUCAGCCACACCGGGACUGAGACACGGCCCGGACUCCUACGGGAGGCAGCAGUGGGGAAUAUUGGACAAUGGGGGAAACCCUGAUCCAGCCAUGCCGCGUGUGUGAAGAAGGCCUUUUGGUUGUAAAGCACUUUAAGCAGUGAAGAAGACUCCGUGGUUAAUACCCACGGACGAUGACAUUAGCUGCAGAAUAAGCACCGGCUAACUCUGUGCCAGCAGCCGCGGUAAUACAGAGGGUGCAAGCGUUAAUCGGAAUUACUGGGCGUAAAGGGAGCGUAGGUGGCUCGAUAAGUCAGAUGUGAAAUCCCCGGGCUCAACCUGGGAACUGCAUCUGAUACUGUUGAGCUAGAGUAUGUGAGAGGAAGGUAGAAUUCCAGGUGUAGCGGUGAAAUGCGUAGAGAUCUGGAGGAAUACCGAUGGCGAAGGCAGCCUUCUGGCAUAAUACUGACACUGAGGCUCGAAAGCGUGGUAGCAAACAGGAUUAGAUACCCUGGUAGUCCACGCCGUAAACGAUGUCUACUAGUCGUUGGGUCCCUUGAGGACUUAGUGACGCAGCUAACGCAAUAAGUAGACCGCCUGGGGAGUACGGCCGCAAGGUUAAAACUCAAAUGAAUUGACGGGGGCCCGCACAAGCGGUGGAGCAUGUGGUUUAAUUUCGAUGCAACGCGAAGAACCUUACCUGGUCUUGACAUAUCUAGA
rnacentral:rRNA from 1 species